UUGAGGUAAUGACCAAUGUUAUAGGGAGUUGAAGUCGAAUUCUCUACAGGCUGUUUGAUAGAGGCCUCUAAACGGUCUGUGUCGCCCCCCUGUUGUAGAUGUUGACGAGUGUCGUCAGACCCCCAGCCUUUGCACCAAUGGUCGUUGUGAGAACACUCCCGGGAGCUACAGGUGUGUUUGCCAUACGGGAUACAAACUACAAGGCAAGGCCUGCACAGAUGUGGAUGAGUGUGAGGACCCUUUGAGGUGUCCUGGUCAGGCCUGUGUCAACUCUCAGGGUUCUUACAACUGUGUGUCUUGCAAGCCAGGCUUCAGCAUGAUCAAUGGACAAUGCUCAGAUAUAGAUGAGUGUCGUCAAUCCCCCGGCCCAUGCAACAACGGUCACUGCGAGAACACCCAGGGUAGCUACAGCUGUGCGUGUCUCACUGGCUACAGACUACACGGUGAUACCUGUACAGACGCGGAUGAAUGUGCAGACCCGUCCCAGUGCCCUGGCCAGGAGUGUGUCAACUCCCAGGGCUCAUACAAGUGUGUGUCCUGCAAGCCAGGCUUUGGGCUGAUCGACAGACGCUGCACAGGUAGGACACAACAUGGUCUUCAUCGACAACAGCACAUUGGAGCGAUUGCGGACAGUUCUUCUCCUUCUUUUCUUUGCAGAUGUUGACGAGUGCCUCCACAGCCCCACUCGCUGUGCUAACGGUCGUUGUGAGAACACGGCUGGAAGCUACAAGUGUGCGUGCCGAUCUGGCUUCAGGCUACAGGGCAACACCUGCACAGAUGUCAAUGAAUGUGAGAACGCUCUACAGUGUCCUGGUCAGGAGUGUAUCAACUCUGAGGGCUCCUUCAUAUGUGUGGCCUGUAGCCCAGGCUUUGUGGCUGGAAAUGGACAGUGUACAGGUGAACAACCUUCUCAACCACACACACACACACACAUACACAUUUGUAUUCCAUAUUGAUAAUUGUAUCAAUACUGAUAUUGUUACUUUCACACAGAUAUUGAUGAGUGUCGGCAGACCUCCAACCUAUGUGCCAACGGCCUCUGUGAAAACACUCUCGGUAGCUACCGGUGCGUUUGCCGCACCGGGUUCAAACUGCAGGGCAGCGUCUGUAUUGACGUUGAUGAAUGUGCAGACUCCUCACAGUGUCCCGGGCAACGGUGUGUGAAUUCUGAAGGCUCCUACAAGUGUAUCGCCUGCAAAGCUGGCCACAGAAUGCAAGAUGGGUUAUGCGCAGGUAAGACUAGCUGUCUAUUAGGCAGUAUAUCAAGUCAAUUCAAGGCAUUCUGUCCAUGUAGUCGACAUGUUUUCCCAAGGUGUUUUAUGGCUCUCACACUUGCCUGCCACGUUUGUUUCUGGGAAGGAAUGCCAUGGCUCUUUUACGGCCAAGGAGAGGAGGGGGAUUUAUGAACAACUGCACAUUUCUGCCUAAUGAGGAAACACAUUUUUAAAGAGUUGAAUUGUGUCAAUGUUGCGGAAUGUGACACGAGACCGAAAUGAGCACCAAACUCUUUUUCAUACGCCUUCCACUUGAGAUUGUGUUCCGUUCAUACGGCUUUAUGGAAUCAGACAAUCACAUCGCUAACACCGUUGGUGUUAUUGGUGAGGCAGCUUGACUAAGACCGUCACCAUACUAAAGUUUGCUGAAGAAUCAAGCUGUUCCAACACUGUUUAUAUAAACUGCACUGAGCAGUGUGACCGGGCCGAUUUUCAUCAUCUUACAGUAGGCGAUGAGUGAGCAAAGGGGGUGGCCCUCUAGACCCAGUUCCAUACUGCAGUCAGCGCUCUUCUCUGCAUUCCUCUCCUCUGCUCUCCUCACUUCACCUUUUCUGGCUUCUGUUACUUCUCUUACUCACUACCAAGCAGUUUAUUUUCCGUGGGGCACACAAAUAAUCAGCCCGAGUGUCAUUAUUAAAGGACACUGUGCACCAUCCCACCUGGGUGCAUUGCCUCUACCUCAAAAAAACAAGAGACCACAUAAACAAUUCAUAUGAAUGUACCGUUUCCUUCACAGUCAGCACUUUACCCAUGCUGUGAUAUCCAGAGCACAUGAAAAUCACUCCGAGGUAUUCAACGAGGUAUUCACUCCGAGGUACUCAACGGAUGUCUGGCUGUUAGACUGGUGCUGAUGUGAACCAACAGAGUUUGCAACAGAUGUUUAGACUUCAAAGGGGAUAGCUUGUAAAUCAGAGACACUUUGGAAAUGGAUGUAACACUUGGGAAUGGGUGGUUGUCUCGUUGGAGUGGUUUCACUGUCAAAACGUUAUAUCCACGAGGGACUGAACCCAUUUGUGCUGUGUUGAUUUAAGAGAAACACUUGGAAGCUGUUUAACCUAUUUUAGGGGGAACAGAAAGACCCUAUACAUGAAGCAGAGGGGUGUGUGUGUGUGUGUGUGUGUGUGUGUGUGUGUGUGUGUGUGUGUGUGUGUGUGUGUGUGCGACCCACCUGCAGUACCCAUGAGCAUUCCCCUCUCCCUUCCUCAGAUGUGGAUGAAUGCCAGAGCCCUGACACCUGUGGUGCAGCGAGGCUGUGUGUGAACACGGACGGCUCCUAUCGCUGUGACUGUCAACCAGGCUACAGA
rnacentral:lncRNA from 1 species